AUUAAUUUGGCAGAUAAAUGCAAAUGAUUUAGAAUCAUUAUAUACUAUAAUAGGUAGUAAUUAUUU
rnacentral:tRNA from 1 species